rnacentral:rRNA from 1 species
CCUACGGGUGGCAGCAGUGGGGAAUAUUGGGCAAUGGGCGCAAGCCUGACCCAGCAACGCCGCGUGAAGGAAGAAGGCUUUCGGGUUGUAAACUUCUUUUGUCAGGGACGAAGCAAGUGACGGUACCUGCCGAAUCAGCCACGGCUACCUACGUGCCAGCAGCCGCGGUAAUACGUAGGUGGCAAGCGUUAUCCGGAUUUAUUGGGUGUAAAGGGCGUGUAGGCGGUAAUGCAAGUCAGAUGUGAAAACUAGGGGCUCAACCUAGAGCCUGCAUUUGAUACUGUAUUUCUUGAGUGCUGGAGAGGCAAUCGGAAUGCCGGGUGUAGCGGUGAAAUGCGUAGAGAUACGGAGGAACACCAGUGGCGAAGGCGGAUUGCUGGACAGUAACUGACGCUGAGGCGCGAAAGCGUGGGGAGCAAACAGGAUUAGAUACCCGAGUAGUC